AGUAAAUUCAAUCUCAACAUAUUGAUUAUUUUAAUGGAUCUUAAAAUUGUUCUUAAUAUUAAAUUAAAAUUUUAUUGUAUAGCUGUUCUUUAUAUUAAAUAGUUGUACAAUAAAAUAUGGUAUGGCAUACUAAACAAAUUUAAUUAAAAAAUUAAACUAAUUAAUUUUUUUUUUUAAUGAUAUUUCUGUCAAAUUGAAUAUCGUGUCUACUGUGUGGUAUGAUUUAGCUAUUUUGCUAGAUGACUUUUUGUUGAAUACCAGACCACUGGAUGUAAGAGUCCUCAUCGUGUUGUAAUAUUUGGCAUAUAAUUUGCCUUUUAGAUUUUUAUUUAGACCAUCUAAUAAAAUAAUUGUCUUUUAAAACAUAAAUAAUUAUAUAUACAAUAUAAGUGAAC